rnacentral:rRNA from 1 species
UACGUAUGGUGCGAGCGUUGUCCGGAUUUACUGGGCGUGAAGGGGGCGCAGGCGGCGCGCCAAGCCCGAUGUGAAAGCCCGCGGCCCAACCGCGGGACUGCAUUGGGAACUACCGGGCUGGAGUGCCGGAGAGGUAGGCGGAAUUCCUAGUGUAGCGGUGAAAUGCGUAGAUAUUAGGAGGAACACCAGUGGCGAAGGCGGCCUACUGGACGGUGACUGACGCUGAGGCUCGAAAGCGUGGGGAGCAAACAGG